UAGUUAAUACACAUGAAUGUUUAAUCGUGUAUUCGUGUUGUAGGCCUGAUGUUGAUGAAGGUGAAAAGAUAUUCAGAAGACAAGGUAACCAGCCUAAAGGAUCUGAUCCAUCAAUAUUUCUGAACUUCGCAAUGCACUCUGUGCGAGCAGAAGCUUGUGAUUGUCCCCCAAGUCAUCAACCUUCACAGAAGAAGCAAACAACAUCUGCAGUAUUGCGUGGAUCCUUUGGCUGUGACGAGGGUGAUAUAUCUAGAAGCUCUAAGAAUUUUUGUCUUGUGCAGGUCCUGCAAUUAAUAAAUGAUUUGAACCAAAGUGUUCGAGAUACUGUUCUCUUAUAUUGAGGUUAGUUAAUUCCAUAUUUGAUACUCUAUAGGCCUACUUUAGUUGACAUCUUGCUUUUUUCCACACCCAUAAUGACUGGUGUGAUCUCUAUUUCCAUUGAUCUUGUGUAUUACAGCCAUGCUCCUACUUAGAGUCAUUGUUCUCCAGUAUCUUGCUUGUGUCAAUUGUCUUUCUUUCGCAUUACCCUAUUGGUCACAGGGUUCUCGCUUAGCACAAGGAAUCUGAAUAAUUGCUUACACUUACCCCAUGGUCAUGGACUGAUGGUAGACAUGAGCGUCGGCGUAUGGUGGGCAUUAUGAGCUUCGUACCUGAGGAAGCAGGGCGGACAUUGAGGUCGAUGGCUUCCUAGGGUUUGCCCCCAAGCGUCGUGCCAUGGUGAGUGUCUGUCUUCUCAACCCAUGAUGUGUUUCUACUAAAAUGUAAUUGGUGGUAGUGUAUAGCUUAAACCAGUUUCCUUGUCCUUAUGUCUCAUCCCAUUCAUAUUUGUGCUUGCGUGUAGUGAAUUCAUGCAGGGAGCAGGUCGGUGAAUAGCAAUUCCUUGGCUUUUCUUCUAACUCCUGCUUCAGAUCGUUCUACCUUUUUUCCAUGAACUAGCGUCAGUACACUACUGCCAUCUGCUCCUUGCCCGUGCCCCAGCAGAUGAGGUUCAGCUUCAGCGUGGCCUGCUGCUGCUACCAUGCAUCACUCGUAAUGUUAAUCAGAGACAAAGCAACAUUUGGCUCUUGAGAUCAGACAAAAUAAAGGCAGGAGGAAGAGACUAGGAGGCCGAUAUGUUAGUUAAUUAAAAAGUCAUCAAUCAAAUCUCUUCGCCUCCCAGAUGAUAAACUCGAAGACGAGGAGGAAAUGAGUUGGGGUUCGAGAAAAAGGAGGGGCAUAGUUCACCGUCGACAUGUUUCUGACCUAAGUAGUAGCACAUGAACGCAAGUCUAAGAACAACCAGCGUAUCUGUUAUUUUAAAUCUCAAUCCUUUUUUCGUUCCUGAACCAAAGUCUUGAGGUUUAAAAGAGGCAAGAGCGUAGCUAGCACGCCUCGCGUCGCGUUUGAUCAGGUCGCCCCAAUCGGAACGGGGUUCGAGGCUUCGAGCGUAUCCAAAGGUCAACAUGGACAAUGUUAGACCUGAUCAAGCGACCGUAGACCCCAGUCCCAGCCAACUGUCAGGAUAUAUAUUAGUUUGUUUCAGAGCUCAGGCUGCAAACCAUCCAAACUUGAAACAAUAUUGAAGGUAAAUUUCAAGUUUAUAUAAUAGAGAAAAUUAUUUGUAUGCCACUGUAAUUUUGCCCAAUACCUUAUUUACCGUCGUAAAUGUUCUAAUCCCUUCUAUGCCAUUGAACACAGCUGGUUUCAGGUAUCAUAAUUGAGCAUAUAUUGGUUAGAAUCUAAAGCACUGUAUACAAGAUUAAUAAUCCAAAAGGUGUUGAGAACCUAUUUGGAUAUGGCUGUUUUAGUCCUAACACCUUGGAAAAUAUAGACUGGAGAGUGCAAGUGUCCACUGACACCUUGUAGCUUUAUUUGAGUAUAGUAGUAUGUUUGUAUAGCGUACCCCAAGAAGCUAAAAGCAAGAAACUUCAGAAAAAUAUGAAAAGGUUGUACCAAUUUAUAAUCAUCCUAAUAUUCAAACAGUUGUUGGGACUAUUCUAUCAAAGUGCUUUUUAGUAAGUAUGUUGUUGCUCAUCCUAAAUCAUGGUCAUAUUCUGUAUGUAUCACCCCUUCUGUACAACAAUGCUUAUGAAAUAUGUGUCGUUAGAUUUACUUUCAUAUCCAGGUGAGUGGUGAUCCUUUAGGCCACUGAGAUGAAAAAAUUAUUACCACUUUUUCCAGCUUUUCUCUAGACAGUUACAGUUUCAAAAUUGUGGGGAAAUAUUGCCAAUGCUGCAUAUUUUCGAAAUGGUGGAGAUAUUGCCACUGUGGAUCAUAUAGUGCUUUUUUUAAGUCAGUCCAUAUAUUACUUCAGAAUAGCUGUUAGGAUUAAUUGGCAGGCCCAAUGACGUGUGUCGAUGAAUUAAGCAUGAAUUAUUGAUUCUCACAUAUAUGCAGUUUGCCUGCAAUGCACAUACCAUAUAUGUGACCCUGAACUUAGGCCUCUUGGGACUAGACUGUACCCUAUCAUAUCCAUUAUUAACCACAGGUCGUAUGCUAAACUACUAGCUAUAUAUUCGUUUAUCUAUUAUCUUUACCAGAUUAGAGCAAUUAAUAUAUCAUCACCUUCUCUAUUCAUCCAUUUUUUGGGUAUAUUCAGUUGUGUACCAAAUGCAGUUUUGAUAUUUGAUGGUAGGACAACAUAUGUUCGUGCAUUGCAACCGAUAGACAAAGAUGAAGAGGUAUCUAUAAGCUACAUUGAGACUGCGGCAGUCACCAAGAAGAGAAACAAUUAUCUGAAACAGUACUUCUUCACCUACACAUGUCCACGCUGUGUAAAGGGUUUUGAUGAUGAUGCGCUACUUGAGGGGUUCAGGUGCAAGAACCAAACAUGUGAUGGCUUUCUGCUGCCCAACUCAGGUAAAAAGGCUUAUACAUGCCAAAAAUGUGGUGCUUCUAGAGAUGUGGAAGAGAUAAAUAAGAUGAGAAGUGAAAUACUACAGUUAUCGGAUAAAGCAUCUUCAUUUCUUUCAUCAGGAAGUAUCCUUGUCUAAAGAUUAAAUGUCUCUGAAAAAAAACUCUGGUCAAAAUGAUCAUCGAGUCCAUUUGUUGUACCUAAUACAUAUAUUACCUUAAUGAGGGAAAUAGAUAAGGCUGAAGCAGGUUCUAUCUACAAGAUAAU